GGAUUAGAUACCCUGGUAGUCCACGCCGUAAACGAUGGAUACUAGCUGUCCGGUCUUCGGACUGGGUGGCCAAGCGAAAGUGAUAAGUAUCCCACCUGGGGAGUACGUUCGCAAGAAUGAAACUCAAAGGAAUUGACGGGGGCCCGCACAAGCGGUGGAGCAUGUGGUUUAAUUCGAUGAUACGCGAGGAACCUUACCAGGGCUUAAAUGUAGUCUGACAGGGGUGGAAACACCCCCUCCUUCGGGCAGAUUACAAGGUGCUGCAUGGUUGUCGUCAGCUCGUGCCG
rnacentral:rRNA from 1 species